rnacentral:rRNA from 1 species
UACAGAGGGGGCCAGCGUUAUUCGGAAUUAUUGGGCGUAAAGGGCUCGUAGGCGGUUUGUCGCGUCGGGAGUGAAAACCUUGGGCUUAACUCAGGGCUUGCUUUCGAUACGGGCAGACUAGAGGUAUGCAGGGGAGAACGGAAUUCCUGGUGUAGCGGUGAAAUGCGCAGAUAUCAGGAGGAACACCGGUGGCGAAGGCGGUUCUCUGGGCCGAUACUGACGCUGAGGAGCGAAAGCGUGGGGAGCGAACAGG